rnacentral:lncRNA from 1 species
UGAACCCGUUUUCUUUUUCAGAGCUGCUUUUUUCCCCUCCAGAAUACACCAGCUUUUCUUUGUCAGCCUUUCAAACCAAGGAGUUUACGAGAAACUCAGCCAGCUCUCAGCAACCCUCAAGAGAUGUGAUGGAGCCCUACUGUAUGAUCUGCAGCCUGUAGCUCUUCACACUACUAGUUGGUAUAACACAUCUCACUGCUGAAGCCAAUAUCAUACACCUCAGCCUUGGAGCUCUGUGUGCUCCUCUGGCAGCAGCAGGGCUGGAGUGAGAUGGGUUGCAGGCUGUGAGUCAAUCAGCUGCUUAAAAUGUAAUGCUGCUUUCCCAAUAAAACCAAGACUGGUGGGUGACACAGUGGGAAGUGCCCAAUCUAGUCUUUGCUCUUUUUUUUUUUUUCCUUUGUGAAAGCAACCAUGAUCUGUGCAACUUCUUUUAGAUUUAAACAGGGUUGGUGAAUGUAGAGCUGGUUGGGGUAAGAGUUCAAAAACAAGUCUAGCUCUUUUUGAUUUGAAUUUAAGACAGUGAUAUCUUGGCUUUUUUUCUGAAGUACACGUGCAGUGCAUCUGUGUGCUCUCAGCAUACUUGUCAUGCACCAGGGCAAAAAGGAAACAAGACGAACCCACCAAUCAAUGAGCUUCUGUGUUGAAGAGGAUCUCCUCUUCCUGUCUGAGGAGAAACAUAAAAGAAGAGGCUUUAUGAUGGGAGAAAUUUCUGUUCCACUUUUACCUGUUCUGCAUUGAAUGACAUUAAGGAUGUACUCUUCUUGCUUGCGUUUUUAUGUGAAGCAAGAAUUAAGUAUAUCUAAUGGGCACAUGUGACUCAGACAUUUGAUACUGUUAUAAGAGUAAAGGAAUAAUCCUACUUUAAUACAUGUAAUUGUGCAAUCCUGAGAAAGCUGAUUUUGUACAUCCAAGAGGACUUGAUCUUACAUUUCCAGGUGUGGGAUGGGAGAUAACAAUUAGCUGCAGGACAAUUAGAUGAGUAUCCUGCUGCUUCUCCAAGCGUGCGAAUACAUCUCAUAGGCACUGCAGUUAUUCUUUGUUCUCACCCAGCUCACUGCCAACUUGCCUCGGUUUACCAAAGCUUUGCAACUUAAAUUUGCUAUUGCAGUCAC